CCAGCUUCUUGUUCUUCCCUUCUGGAAUCUGGCGGCGGCGGCGGCGCCAACCGAUCAGCUGAGCUGGGUUAAAGAUGACAGCGGCUGAGGCUCAGCCGGCUCUGCGGUUGCUGUUCAGAUGCCAAUCUAAGUGAAAUGGAACGGAAGGCAACUACAGCGUUCCUGGAAGAUGAGCUGGUUUUGAAAACUAAGUAGUUACUAACCUCUGCACAUCUGAAUGCAAUUCUCAUGUUUGCUCCUUCACUAUGAGUCACUAUGAGUGAAAUCAGAUUGGCAAAACGGGAAAGAAGAACGUGUAACAGAAGGCCUGGCUUGUUAUUUCACCUCUCUCUCUCUUUUUUCUCCAUCUCUGUCUUCUCCAGACAAAUUAUUGAACUACUGUGCUAUUCUGAUGCAGUGGGCACUCUGGGUACAUCAACCUUGAGCUGGGAUGUUGUUCACCUUAGAAAGCAAGCAAUGGUUUGCAGUGACCAAUAGUGUAGAGUAAUUGCUUAGAGUUAGAUAUUACUGCUAUUAUUAUUAAUAAUAGUACAGACUAUGAUUCAUCUAUAUGGUAUUAAUAUUAGUGUGUUAACCUGAUUUGUUUUCUGUGGUUUAUAAUGAACGUCCACUGACUUUUCUCUAUCUUGUAAUUUUAUUGUGGUGAUUGUCUCCGAGUGGACUUCAUAGGGGACAAAAAGGUAGAAGAUUUGAGUAUGAUGCCACAAAUAUUUUGAAUCCUUUCACUGCUCUGUGAAAACACUCUGGGGGAUUAAAAAAACAAAAGGUGAAAAGAGUGCAACCUUGCCCUGCCUUCAAGGAUCUUGCAAUGCAGUGCAAAGACUAACUUAAAUAUAUUGCACUAAGAGGAGUGCUGAGUAGAGAUGUCCCAGAACUUAGUACUCAGUUACAGGAAGUUAGAGGGUGUGGAAGAAUCUCCUGGGGCAUAGAAUUUCAAGAAGCCACACUGUGGGCAAGCUGAGAAGAUGAUUUUGGUCAUGACCAGCAUACCAGCAUACCAGUGCCAGUAGGACCCCACACCUGUUGGAGAUCUCAGUGAGCUGUGACCAAGAACCUUCUAAUUACUCAAGACUGCAUGACUGUAAACUGUCAGAUGUCUGUUAGUAAUAAUAUGAUUCCUCAUUGAUCAUAGGCAAUUGAUAUCCAGUAAACAUUUGUUCCGUGAAUUUUUUUUGUUGUUUUGUUUACAGGUACCUGGCUAGCUCAGUUCGUAGAGCAUGUGACUCUUAAUCUCAGGGUCUCUAGUUCAAGUCCCAUGUUGGGAAUGGAGCCCGCUUAAAAAAAAAAAAAGAAAGAAAGAAAGAAAAGAAAAAAGAAUGAAUUUGUUUAAACCUCCAAGGAGGUUUAAAAAUAAAGAAACGAAAAAAGCCAGGUAUAACUUGUAUUUAGCAUGAUUUCCUUCUCCCUCUCUUACAAAAUACUAACCAGACUUCUCUUUCUGGCUGCAUAUGACUCCCCCCACCCACUACACAUUUCUUUGUCAAAAUCAUUUUAAAUAAAAAUGGACACAUCUGGAAUCCUUACUUGAUUUCAGGUACUCUUUGAAA